ACCAGACUUGCACUCUCCUCAGCCGCAUUGCUCACCCACUGGUACUUAUAAGCUGCAAUGGUCUUAAGCGCGAAAACGACGAUUCUUGUGAAAUACAAGUACCCAAUAACGACAAUGUAAAAUUGCCUGAAAAGGGUCAACUUGGCCAAGUUUCUUGCAGCUUUUCCGUCGGUUUUCGACGUCUCUCUGAGAGACCUAAUGGACCAAACGAUGGGGAAUAUGAUAGCACAGCAGCAAAUGAUAUCAACCAACAAAAACACCUGGUUCCAGGUGACCCAGUCCUUGAUAAACGGCCCAGUUUCCCCAAUCACAACGGACGCCACGUUGGCCAAGACCUGCAGAGGGAUAACAAUCAUCAACACUUUCUUCUCCUUCUCCUGCAAGAAGGGCUUCAAAAACGACCACCCGGUCCCGAUCAAAACGAUCACC
rnacentral:lncRNA from 1 species